AACAACAUAAAACACGGGAAAAUAGAUACAACUGAGUGUUUAUAUGUUUUCCCACCAAAGAAAUUAUGAAGCUUAUUGAAUGCCAUUGUAGGAAAGGGUUGUUUUCUUUAAAUUGAGAAUUACAACAAACUGACAUUAACAGGGUGAAAAGUGUUAUCAGUGACACACCGGAAAUCUUAAAUAAAAUACAAUAAUCAUGAAUAAAGGGUUAUUGAUAAGAGAAAAUGUAAAUAGAACUAGAAAAUAAUGAAGAUUUAAAAUGUUAUUAUAAUGGCUUAUAUUUCUCAUGGAAGUUGAUGAAUAACAUCAGGGGCCAUGGGAAAAAUGCCUACAUCUACUGAAAAUGUUUUCAAAACGCAUAAAAUAUCCCUUUAAGAUGCACAUUUUUGUGUUUUUAAGGUAAAGGACUCCUGACCUUAUAUUUAAAGUCUUUUGGAAUCCACAUUUUCACUAAGUAAGAAGUGAUAUUUCCUGGGGAUAGAAAAGGCUCAAGGCAUUGUCGGAAUGACCCCAGCUAACGUUAGCAACUCACCAGUAGUGAGGGGGUUUGUUGUCAGCCACAUUGAAGUAUCCUGAGUACUGUUUGAAGUUAGGCUGCUUUUGAAGCCCAUGGAGGAACUUUAUUGUAUCUGCUUCAGGUGUCCCAAUAGUCACCGACGCUCCCAACAGCAGGGACAACCCAAAUUAAACAUUUUGGGGUAAAAUGUCAUGCAAUGUUAAUAAUUUGUUAGUUGGAGCUCGUGAUGGGUUGUCACUAGUUACGACAGCCACAAAGUAAAACGAGGCUAUAAUAGGCGGGGUUUAGAUAUAAUUAUGGCUUUGUGGCUGUUGUAACUAGUAACGACUUCGCGAUGAGCUGGUCCCAUGACAGCUCAAUACUAGCGCGUAUCAAAUUGCGCAUACUGUUAGGUUCCGCACCUCAAAUUGGGAUGGUUGAUGGUUGGUUGUUUACUAUUCGUUUCUGGUGACCCAAAUUUGUAUUAUUUUGUAUCUUGGUGGAUAAUUUGGCAAUUGCAGUGUAUGCGUCAGUUGAUGAAGACAAUACAAAAAGUAAACAAACAUGCUCAGCCUCAGUCGCAAAGAAAAUGCAGUUUUCCCCGUGAUCCCGAAAGAAGAUCAGAACUUCUACUUUGAAGGCGCAACUGGAAAACACACGACCGAUCGCGGCUGUGCGAGGUUCUUGACUCCAGAGGAGCUGGAUAGUCCCAGAGUAUUUGAGGGUCAGGAGGGAAUGCAUCGUAAGAGCCGACUCACAUGCAGCCUUGCAUCCCACUGCGACGGCUGCCAACCUUGGCGCAACACUUGACCUUGUCAUCACAUAAUUCCAUGGUCACAUAGUUCCAUGCGGGCAAUAGACCAGUUGUACACUAUUCUCCCUAUUGUAAUUCUAUGUACGCUAAUCUUCCAACAUUACCAUGGGUUGUAGAACUGAAUGUGGCAAUUUUCAGAAUUCAUCAAAUCACUUGUCCUUUUCUUUCAUCCAUAAAGGCUCUCCCAACACAUUUUCACUUGAUGCCUACAGAUAAUGAAAAGGUGUGUUACGUUCCCCAGUUUCUGUGUUGUGGUUUUGCUUAUAUGUGUAUGUUUCAGGAAAUGGCUUCCUGGAUUCCCCCAAGCAGUUGAUUGGUCGGCCCCAUUGCUAAUUGGAGCUGACCCCACCCUCUCGUCAGAGAAUACAACUGUAUCCCAUGACAGACUCCUUCUCCAGCUAGAAAAGCCAGUGUUCCUUUGCUGAGAGAGAGCUGAUGGUUAUGUUCUGUGUUUGUUGCUCAGACAGAGAGCUUAUUUGUAUGUCCUGUGUUGGUUGUUGCUGAGAAGGAGCUGAUGGUUAUGUCCUGUGUUGGUUGUUGCUCAGAGACAGGCUUUUUGUUCCCAGGGGGGGAAGGGGAAGGCACCUAGGGA